ACACACAGACACACACACACACACAAAUUUGGUCGAACCCCGUUUCAACGUAUCCCGUUUCCGUUUUCACCCCGAUAACGUUCUCAUUUCAAAGUCCCCAUGACACGUAAUUUCAUUUGCCGAUUUUACUUUCAACGAGCACCU